UACGAAGGUCCCAAGCGUUAUCCGGAAUUAUUGGGCGUAAAGCGCAUGUAGGCGGUUUGUUAAGUCUGGUGUGAAAGCUCAAGGCCUAACCUUGAAAUUGCAUUGGAAACUGGCAAACUAGAAUACUGGAGGGGUAAGUGGAAUUCCAUGUGUAGCGGUGAAAUGCGUAGAUAUCUGGAGGAACACCGGUGGCGAAGGCGGCAUCCUGGACCGACACUGACGCUGAGGAGCGAAAGCCAGGGGAGCAAUCGGG
rnacentral:rRNA from 1 species